rnacentral:rRNA from 1 species
UACGUAGGGCGCAAGCGUUAUCCGGAAUUAUUGGGCGUAAAGAGCUCGUAGGCGGUUUGUCGCGUCUGCCGUGAAAGUCCGGGGCUCAACUCCGGAUCUGCGGUGGGUACGGGCAGACUAGAGUGAUGUAGGGGAGACUGGAAUUCCUGGUGUAGCGGUGAAGUGCGCAGAUAUCAGGAAGAACACCAAUGGCGAAGGCAGCUCUCUGGG